rnacentral:rRNA from 1 species
UACGUAGGGUGCGAGCGUUGUCCGGAAUUAUUGGGCGUAAAGGGCUCGUAGGCGGUUUGUCGCGUCGUUUGUGAAAACUCACAGCUCAACUGUGAGCCUGCAGGCGAUACGGGCAGACUUGAGUACUGCAGGGGAGACUGGAAGUUCCUGGUGUAGCGGUGGAAUGCGCAGAUAUCAGGAAGAACACCGAUGGCGAAGGCAGUUCUCUGGGCCGUAACUGACGCUGAGGAGCGAAAGCGUGGGGAGCAAACAGG